AAUACUUUGGGAAUCUUGAGGAGGCCUCAGGCCCACAUGGACUCAUUGAUUCUUUUUUUCUCUCUUUUUUUUUUAUUUGUGUGUGUUGAGUUGUGGGUUAAAUUACUUAUUUCUGUGUAGAGAUAGGAUGGACUGAUUUAUUUUGCAUGUUCACAUUUUUAUCUUUGCAAUAACACCAAAAAAGGCAUUUUCCAACCACCACACAACAUGGCAGCCACUCAGCCUGAGGUAGUGGAUGGACCUAGCCUACUACUUGACUACACUGCUGGUCCUUUUGUUUCAAGGCAGAAUGAAGACCCUGAUGAGGAUACUCAAUGUGGCUUAUUGGCUUACCAUCAGAAAGGAUGUCUGGGAGUACAGAA